rnacentral:rRNA from 1 species
UGGGGGAUAUUGCACAAUGGGCGAAAGCCUGAUGCAGCGACGCCGCGUGGGGGAUGAAGGCCUUCGGGUUGUAAACUUCUUUUGCUCUGAACAAGGCGCACCAUGGGGUGUGUUGAGUGUAGGGGUUGAUUAGCGCCGGCUAACUACGUGCCAGCAGCCGCGGUAAUACGUAGGGCGCGAGCGUUGUCCGGAAUUAUUGGGCGUAAAGGGCUUGUAGGUGGCUGGUUGCGUCUGUCGUGAAAGCUCAUGGCUUAACUGUGGGUUUGCGGUGGGUACGGGCUGGCGUGAGUGCAGGAGGGGAGGCUGGAAUUCCUGGUGUAGCGGUGGAAUGCGCAGAUAUCAGGAGGAAUAACGGUGGCGAAGGCGGGUCUCUGGGCUGUUACUGACACUGAGGAGCGAAAGCAUGGGGAGCGAACAGG